AUUAUUCAAAAUAAUAUAUUACGUAUAAUAGCUUUAAUAUGGAAAGCGAGUCUCUACCCUAGGCCGUAAACUUAGGACUACGUAAAGAAAAUUCAUUAUA
rnacentral:ncRNA from 2 species